GGAAAUGUGCCCGAAAGCUAGGGUCCUCCUUGAUAGGGAGGUCUAUAUGGGUUCAAACCCCCUCGUUUCCU
rnacentral:tRNA from 1 species